rnacentral:lncRNA from 1 species
CUCCAAAUUCCUUCUAUUUCAAUUUCUUGUAUCACCAACUUGAAAGGGAGUGUCCAAGUAAACUUGCUUGUUGAACUGGAAUUAUGCAUUUAGUAAAUCAAUUUGUGAUGACUCCAUUUCUAAGUUUUCAUAUAUCUUCAUCUGAUACAUAAGAGCCACUAAGAUAAUACUUCACUUAGUAAAGGUCACUUAUCAGGCAUUAUGAGCAGUGUAGAUUCUAGGUAGGAAACAUCUAAACCAAGAACAUGAAUGUAGCCACAAAGGAUGUCCUAGCAGCAAAAAGAUGUAUCUUUAAAAGUCUACAAUACGGGCCAGCCUGGUGGCAUAGUGGUUAAGUUCGCACACUCUGCUUCAGCGGCCUGGGGUUCAUGGGGUUGAAUCCCAAGUGCAGACCUACACACCACUCAUCAAUCCAUGCUGUGGCGGUGUCCCACAUGCAAAAUAGAGCAAGACUGGCACAGAUGUUAGCUCAGGGACAGUCUUCCUCAAGCAAAAAGAGGAAGUUUGGCAAUAGAUGUUAGCUCAGGGCCAAUCUUCCUCACCAAAAAAAUAAAUAUAUAAAAAUAAAAGUCUACAGUAAACCUUUGCCCAGAGCCCACUUUUUUUUAUCUUGAAAAGACUUGUGACAAAUGAGUUUUUCUGAUUUUUAAACCUACAACAGAUUAAAAAGGCAAGCACAUGGAGUGACGUCUGAUGCCUCUCUGAAGAAAGAGUUGGAAAACAGUAUUAACAAAUCAGGGAAAUAUUUGUUAAUUACUGAGGGAAAAAUAGUAACUUGGAAUAUCCCAGCAGACACCGCCUUAACCAGUGAUCAAGGUUAACAUCAUCAGGAAUAGGACAAAUUUCAUCAUGAACCCCUGAUAUGUACCAAAGAAAGGGCAUAACCUUACCUCUGUGAUAUUUUUGCCAAAAAUGUAUAACCGCAACAAAAUCAUUAGAAAAGUCAGACAAAUUGAAAGACAUUCAAUGAAGUAAGUGACCAGGACUCAUCAAAAGUGACAGGAUCAUGGUGGAUAAGGACAGAUGGAAGGUCUGUCACAGAAGAGAGGAGACAAAGAAGGAAAAAGAUUGAACUCAUCGUGAGAUUCUGGGUUGACUCCUGGACCAGAUAAAGAGUGACAGUCAGAGUUUUCACCCAAAUCCCCUGUGACAUGGCCAUGAAUGGAACAAAGAGUGGAAAGCUCCACUGUUCCGGGAAACUUAAUAAGCUGUGGAAUCAUGCUUUUUUCUUAGCCUGUCAUUUAGCAAAUAAGCCUAAAUGUCUUUAAAGUAUACCAUUAUACUUCACUGACUGAGGGAAGCUUGUAACAAGUAUUUGCUGAAC